GUGCCUAGUUGCCUUGUGCAAUACUCUUGUGGCAUAUUUGCUACACCUCCUGAACUUUGAUCAGUUUGCCUUUUACCAGCUAUUAUGACUCAAAAUUGUCCCCUAGAACAUGGAAUAAUGGCAGAAAGAAAGUGUGUGGUUGAAUAAACACACAGAUUGGCAUCCACCGUUGAAACAGGAAAACAUGUUAUGCUGCUGCUGUUGUGAGGGCUGAUGGGCCUUGAGAGAAAUGUAUUUCCUGCACUAUGUGUGUGUGAGUGUGUGUGAUUAUACUUUUUGGCCUCACAGCCCCAUCAUCCCUUUCUAAUAAGGUCACGUCUAUAAGGGGCUUAGGAUUGCAUCUGGCCUGUGUAAGCCCUCUGAGUUCUGCGGUUCUUAGAGUUCCCUUUUCAGCACUACAGCUCUGCCUUGUUCCCUUGUUCCUCCUUCUGGCGCCCCGUCCUGUGCCCCCUGCAGGAGUCCAAGCUGUCCCCGUGCUGCGUUCUGGUCCGGCCGCCCCUCCCGUGGUGUGGCCCUGGCUGACCCCCCUCCUGCACCCCGCUUCUCUUGCAGAAGCUGCUCUUUGCCGGCUCCCAUUCUCAGCUGGUGCAGCUGCCCGUGGCCGACUGCAUGAAGUAUCGCUCCUGUGCAGACUGUGUCCUCGCCCGGGACCCCUAUUGCGCCUGGAGCGUCAACACCAGCCGCUGUGUGGCCGUGGGUGGCCACUCUGGAUCUCUACUGAUCCAGCAUGUGAUGAUCUCGGACACUUCAGGCAUCUGCAACCUCCGUGGCGGUAAGAAAGGUGAGCUUUUUCAUUCCCCUCGCAUCAGGCUGAGCCCUGGACCAGAGCUGGAGUUUCUGUUCUCCUCUUCCCCAGCCCUGCUUUCCUGCACUAACAUGCACUCUCUUUUCUCUGCCACUACAGUCAGGCCCACUCCCAAAAACAUCACGGUGGUGGCGGGCACAGACCUGGUGCUGCCCUGCCACCUCUCCUCCAACUUGGCCCAUGCCCGCUGGACCUUUGGGGGCCGGGACCUGCCUGCGGAACAGCCCGGGUCCUUCCUCUACGAUGCCCGGCUCCAGGCCCUGGUUGUGAUGGCCGCCCAGCCCCGCCACGCCGGGGCCUAUCACUGCUUUUCAGAGGAGCAGGGGGCGCGGCUGGCUGCUGAAGGCUACCUUGUGGCUGUCGUGGCAGGCCCGUCGGUGACCUUGGAAGCCCGGGCCCCCCUGGAAAACCUGGGGCUGGUGUGGCUGGCGGUGGUGGCCCUGGGGGCCGUGUGCCUGGUGCUGCUGCUGCUGGUGCUGUCAUUGCGCCGGCGGCUGCGGGAAGAGCUAGAGAAAGGGGCCAAGGCUACUGAGAGGACCUUGGUGUACCCCCUGGAGCUGCCCAAGGAGCCCACCAGUCCCCCCUUCCGGCCCUGUCCUGAACCAGAUGAGAAACUUUGGGAUCCUGUCGGCUACUACUAUUCAGAUGGCUCCCUUAAGAUAGUACCUGGGCACGCCCGGUGCCAGCCCGGCGGGGGGCCCCCUUCGCCACCUCCAGGCAUCCCAGGCCAGCCUCUGCCUUCUCCAACUCGGCUUCACCUGGGGGGUGGGCGGAACUCAAAUGCCAAUGGUUACGUGCGCUUACAACUAGGAGGGGAGGACCGGGGAGGGCUCGGGCACCCCCUGCCUGAGCUCGCGGAUGAACUGAGACGCAAACUGCAGCAACGCCAGCCACUGCCCGACUCCAACCCCGAGGAGUCAUCAGUAUGAGGGGAACCCCCACCGCGUCGGCGGGAAGCGUGGGAGGUAUAGCUCCUACUUUUGCACAGGCACCAGCUACCUCAGGGACAUGGCACGGGCACCUGCUCUGUCUGGGACAGAUACUGCCCAGCACCCACCCGGCCAUGAGGACCUGCUCUGCUCAGCACGGGCACUGCCACUUGGAGUGGCUCACCAGGGCACCAGCCUCGCAGAAGGCAUCUUCCUCCUCUCUGUGAAUCACAGACACGCGGGACCCCAGCUGCCAAAACUUUUAAAGGCAGAAGUUUCAAGAUGUGUGUGUUUGUAUUUGCACGUGUGUUUGUGUGUGUGUGUAUGUGUGUGUGCACGCGUGUGUGCGCUUGUGGCAUAGCCUUCCUGUUUCUGUCAAGUCUUCCCUUGGCCUGGGUCCUCCUGGUGAGUCAUUGGAGCUAUGAAGGGGAAGGGGUCGUAUCACUUUGUCUCUCCAACCCCCACUGUCCCGAGUGUCGGGCAGCGAUGUACAUAUGGGGGUGGGGUGGACAGGGUGCUGUGCCCCUUCAGGGGGAGUGCAGGGCUCGGGGUGGGCCUAGUCCUGCUCCUAGGGCUGUGAAUGUUUUCAGGGUGGGGGGAGGGAGAUGGAGCCUCCUGUGUGUUUUGGGGGAAGGGUGGGUGGGGCCUCCCACUUGGCCCCGGGGUUCAGUGGUAUUUUAUAGUUGCCUUCUUCCUGUACAGGGCUGGGAAAGGCUGUGUGAGGGGAGAGAAGGGAGAGAGGGUGGGCCUGUUGUGGACAAUGGCAUACUCUCUUCCAGCCCUAGGAGGAAGGCUCCUAACGGUGUAACUUAUUGUGUCCCCGCGUAUUUAUUUGUUGUAAAUAUUUGAGUAUUUUUAUAUUGACAAAUAAAAUGGAGAAAAUGAAAUGA
rnacentral:sRNA from 1 species